GGGCUUCUUCUUUGAGAGAUGUUUGUUACAACCAGUGACAGUCACAUCCAAUUAUCCGAGCGACAAAAAAAAAAAAAAACACUGUCUCCUGUCAAGUUUGUUUUGCUUUUAUAUUUGUCAGAAGAAACAUAUUUGUUGUGUAGAUCAUGUUUCCUCACAACAAUUUUUUUUCCCACCCAGUUAAAGUAUCGAUGCACUUUGAAAAAGUGCUGUAAAAACUCUCUCGCUCUUACUUUCUUAUCACUGCUCGCUGUCUCUUCACUCACGGAUUGGAGGCAUAUCUAAAAAUCGUUCUCUGGGGCUGCCAAGGGGGAUUCUGGGAAAAUGUGGGGACACACACAAAACCUGUAGUAAAAAAGAAACAGACAGAGAAACUUGGGUAUAAGAAGAACUAGAAAAAAAACUAACUCAGAUAUCUUAAUAUGCUUAAAAUACUUGAAUGCCAAAGUUUAUUUAGAUAAAUGUUGUACUUGUGCAUGCCAGAGUGAGGUAUUUUUCCAUUAGGGUUGCAUUUGCAUGUUAAACUAACCUGUUUGCUGCAGGCAGGCGCGGAGGACACUCAAAAUUACUUUUGUGGGAAGCAGCACAGAAAAUUGCAUCCCCGGCACCACAUAAAUCAGAUCUUAUUUAACCGUAAUUUAGUCACAGUAAGGCUGUUAUUUACUGUAUAUAUUGUUUAGAUAUUUUCAGCCCAAACACUUGGAUUAGUCCGCCCUCUCACAAUGAUUGUGCAUGCAGACAUGCUGGGGCUUUUCCUCAUUACUUCCAAUUACGUUAGCUCAUACAUAGCUGUGUUAGUGUCAGCCAUAUGCAUCCCCAUAAGAGUGUGUUAAAUCAGACAAUCUGCUUGGUUAUUCAUUUUCACACAAAUGACCUCCCUUUCCUUGAAAAGAGCAGUCUAAAUUGGAAACCGUCUCAUUUUGGCUUCAAACUUCCAUUCAGCUGCAAAGGAAAGAGACGGGAAUUAAUUUGCUGUGAGUGAAUGGGUUUUGACAGGGGGCUAUUUCACCAGUCAGUGUCAGUGUUAUCCUGGCUGUGCAAUAAUGCAAUAAGGAAAACAAUCAAACAGCCAGUAGGAAAGCAUCUGACCUCAGAUUUCUUUUUUGAUAUGGAGCGUAAUUGCGGCGCACAGAAGACUUUACGCUGGCCUCUGUGUUCUGCUGAUUUCUUAAAAUAAGUUCGGCUGAAUCCUGAUGCCAGAAGCGCGGUUAUUUUCAUACCGCCUUUGUUCUACGAGAUCAGUCAGAACGUCUCCAACAUGGAGAGCUCGUGGCUUUGAAACGCACCGAUAAACCUUCAUCUUCAGAUUGUUUCUCUCUUCUCUCUCGCUUCCGCCUCCCUCUACCGCACUAACCCAAGAAUUUCAUGAAAGCUGGGGAAGAGAGUGCGUGUCAUCUAGUUUUCAGCAGUGGGUUUUCAUCUUGUUUUGGGUCUUUUCAGGAACGAUUGUUACUCAGUGUACUGAGAGAGAUGAGCUGCUAACUGCUGUAAUGAUGCUGCGUAAGCGAAUGUAUAGAUCCGCUGAUCACACCAACUCAAAUACAGGAUCAUCCACUGAAUGGUGAAGGCUGAUACUUUAUUUUGAUUCUAUCAAACGUCAUUAUUUCAACUCUCAUCAUUUUCAAGAAAGCAGAGUUGUGAAUAACUAACUGAAAGAGUCAGUAGCUGCAGUAGUUUUCUUGGUUUUUGCACCACCUCACAGAUCUAACACACUACGACUAGAGCUGUGCAAAAAUAUAAGCAGAACAAAAUACCUCAAUAUUUCCUCACAAGAUUGUACAUCUGUUUUCCUGCCUCUCUCAUAGAUAUAAUGAAUAGGUUGUCUUUUCCUCUCCCUUGAAUUUCUGUAUUCACAACAACCUCGGCAUCUGUAGAUGCUUCUGUUAUUGGACUGAGCUCUUGAACCUUCAGCUGCCGUGAGCAAGAAAAGACUAGCCGCAGUGGUCAAGUGUCAUAGAGGGGAAUUUAUUAGAGCUAGUGCUGAUAAUGAAAACAGGGAAAUAAGACAGUAUUUUUUCUGAGGACGUAAUAAAUGCAGCCACAGCUCUUCAUACACAUGCAACAAGCAGACUUGCUUUGAAUGAAUGCAUGCAGGUGAGUUUGCGUGUCUUUGCUUCGCCCUCCAUCAGAUCAGACCUGCUGCUCUCACUCAGUAACAACACAAAUAGACAGUUCUCCUAAGAUUACCACUUCUUAUUCUUAAAGGGAUAUUCUGGCAUAAAAUUCAGUCAGGGUCAAACAAUGUUACACAAAGUUAGACAACCCCACGAGAGAAGAAUGUUGCCGACUGCUUGCUUCUCUAGUUAUACCAACUUUAGAAAUGACCGCACGAUGGCAAUACACAGCAGUCUACAUCUCCACGUGCAAACCUCAACCAAAGCACCACUCUAUAGCCACAAAUAAUGCUCACAACAGCACCUAACUUCAUCAACAGUCCAUAUAGGGUCCCAGUCAUAGUACUAGCCACCCUGACAAGUCGAUCACCGAGUGCAGCAGAUCAUUUCCAUGAAGUAAUAAUCAUCAUAAUCAUUUUGCACUGCAGACGCAGUAGUUUUUGUGCCUUAUCGUCUCGGUCUGAUUGCAUUUGCAGGAUUGCAAGAAAUUAUCAUAAUGUUCUUCCUUGAGCUGCGAAACUCCGCUGCACUCUGCGAUCGACUCGUCAGGGCUCCCCCAACAAACAAUCAUCGUGCAGUCGUUACUUAAGUUGGUAUAACUAGAGAAGCAAGCAGUUGGUAACAUUCAUCUCUCAAGGGGGUGUCUAACUGUGUGAUGGUUUGUUUGACCCUAACUUGAUUUAACACCAGAAUAUCCCUUUAAGGAAACAACUCAGCAAAAAUGGAACAAUGGUCCAAACAACAUGAACAGUUACAAGCAGUUUUAAAAAGUUCAAUGUAAACUGCUGACAACACUUCCAAAUAUCACCACCACUAUUCCUACUAGAGAUACAAUGAAAACCACCACUAUUGCACAACUACUCAUUUUUUUAUUUUUAUUAUUUUAAUCAACAGCACUUUCAUUUCAGCUGUGUUAUACAACCUGUAAGCACAACCUUUGGAUAAAAUGAGCAGCAGAAGCGAGAAAAAUGUGGACGGUUGAUGAUAUUGGUUGCUUGGGGCACUAAAAUAACAGCUCUAACAAAGUGGCUUUCACAGCUGGGUUUUCCACAAGUCAAAUAAUAGAGGUCCUGUGUCAGAUCAAUAAGGUUAACAGGGUCAAAACAUUGACAAGGCGUGAAUAAAAAGUUUAACUUGGGCUUUUUUUGGUAUUUAAAAAAACCCAAAAGGGAAAGGUCACAGUUCUAAAGAAGAGUCUGGGAAUGAGUUUUUUACUAACCCCAUCUAAUCUGCAGAAGCACUACGAAUAAUUAAUUAACCUCUUGUUUGGUAGUUUGAUGCUUACAGAACAGAAACCAGCAGAAAGAUUUGUAAGUAGUUCCAAUUAUACUAACCAGGUAAACAGGUCUUGGUGUGUCAACUUCACCAAACAGCUUUGGCAGAAGCCUUUUUGUGUAGUAAUGUGGAUGGAAAUGAAAUAAAAACAAAACGCCUGACUGACAGUAUAACUAUCUCAAAGUGGGUUAAGAAUAAAGUUACACCCAUCAUGUCAAAGAGAGAAAAAGCAGUUUAGUAUUCAAUGUGUCUUCUUGUCAUUAGUCGGGCACUUUUAAAACUAAAUACAUUUUUCCAAGGAUCAGAGACACAGCAGAAACAGUGAGUCUAAAAAGUGGAUUAUUUUCAGUAUAGAGCAACAGCCUCUCUCUCUCUUUCUCUCUGUCCCUCGCAUUUCCUCCCUUAAUCCAAUCAUGCCCCAAUUACAAAAACCCAAGAUGAAGUCAGAGAGAGAGAGAGAGACAGAGAGAGAGAGCGAGAGAGAGAGAAGAAAAACAGUCAAAAUGUAAACUUAGCAGGCUGGCUCCAGUUUUGAUUAAUGAGCUUAUGACCUUUAUAAUGGUGUAUUUACACAGAACCCAAAAAGAAGCACAGAAGGCAGCCCAAUAAACUUUUAUCAGGGUUGAGUGGAGGUUGUGGAUAAUAUCACAAAAGUGGUUCUGAAGUAAAGCAAACAUCUCCCAGCUGAGGCAAGAUGAGCCUUUUUGGGUUAAAGACCGCAAAGACAUGAACGAUGUUUGAAUAUCAUGUCAAAUCAAGUCACAUUUGUUUAUAUGGCAUAUCAUACACAGUUGGCCACACUGCUGUAAAUAACAUCUUGUCCUCUCUCUGCAUUGUAUUGCUAUAUAAGUCUGCUGGGUUAAUAAUGUUUUUGACUCAAUAGGAAAGCUAAAGAAAAGAGAUAGGGAUACAGAAACGGUAAGGGUUAGGAGCAGCUACUGCAAAGGCUAGAUCAGUAGUAGCCGAUUGGUUGACCUCAGCAUCCUGCACAGAAUAUAAAUAUGGGAACAUUCAGCCAGGGGAAGGUGGUGUCUAUCUUGCUUUUGGCUUUAAAAGCUUCCAACAACAGUUUGACUCUGGUCAGGAAACCAGGGAAGAGAGAGCAACACAGUUUGUGGUCCCUCUAUUUCUUUCCAAACAGGAGGAAAGUAACAGCACUCUGAACUGACUGCAGGUGCUGAAUGGAAACUAGUCUAAACCCGCAUACAAAGAAUUACAAUAGUCGAGUCAAAAUGUUAGAAAUGCAUGUGCAAGCCUCUCUUAACCUUUAGAAAAGAAGGAACUCCACCUUAGCUGUAAGUCUUCUCUGAAAGACGCCGGAGUUAACCCCAGAAAAAAUCAGCUUGACUUAUUUGAAGAUAAAUAAAAUGAACAAGACUCUUUACAGGGGAGUGAGUAUCAGAGACUGGCGGGCCCACAUCCAAAUUUUGUACAAAAUACUCUGACUAGAGAUUCGUUUUCAUUUAAGUUGAGGAUGUUUAUCAAGCAGGGGCUGCAGUGAACCCUCUUUAUAUACCUCUUUAUAAAAGUAGAUUAGUUCAUUGGUCCAUUAUCUACAAGUCAAUGGGACGAGACAUUAGAGGUGUCCCGAUACAACUUUCUGACUUCCGAUACAAUACCGAUAUUGUGCAGGCCAAUACAACCCUUUUUCGUUUUUUGCUGAUAUCGGACUGAUAUCUGAUAUCAAUAUCGGAUGGGGACAUCCCUACCAGACAUUUUCUUUUAGGAUUCCUUGGACAGCACAUGGAAAAAAAAGAAAAUAGGAUCGGACCCAAAAUAGAUCCAAGAGGGACGCCACAAGUUAGUGGAACCUCUGGGUAAUAAUCAUUGUGUGGAAAAAGAAAUAUCUUCCAGACUGAACUACUUAAAGUAGGGCUGGGCGAUAUGGCCUAAAAUCAACAUCACGAUAUAUUGAGCAGUUCACCUCGAUAACGAUAAAUGGACGAUAACUACUCCACAAGCUGCUCACCCCCUUCCACAUUAACUUCGUCUACUUUAGCCACCGCUCCAGCUGCUACAACUUCUGAACGGUCCUCCAUCUCCUCACCUGUCUUUCCCUCUUUGUUACGGACUGGAUGGGGUGGAGUCAUGUCUUUGACGUAGGACAGUGUCUUAAAAGGGACAUGAGACCAUAGCCUACCUACACACAUCCAAAACCAACUUUUAUUUAUUAAUUUUUUUUGAGACCCAAAUAUAUUGACAUGGGCAAACUAAUGUCGGUUAUUGUCGUAAAUCUAUUGCCCAGCCCUAACUUAAAUGCUGCACUUUUAAUUCUUAAGGGGACUGUAUUAUCAACAGUGUCCAAGGUAGCCAUUAUGCAUGCAAAGGGAACCAAAGAUGUCAUUUACUUGUUCAUUCUAGUCUUGUUUUAACUACAGCUCUUAUUAUUAGCUCAUAAUGGAGUUCAUUCUCUUAAAAAAGUGAUUCUUAAUUUCAAGGAACAUAAUUGAAAGAGAAAGAGAACAUUUAUUGGACCUUAUUCACAUCAGUUAAAUUGUUCUGUAGACUUGUACACCGACAAUAACGCCUCACAUAAUACCAGAGUAGAUUAAGAUGUCUUUUAAGAGGCUAUUUCUACUGAGAGCUAAAUGAUUUCCCAGCAGGUACUUAUUUUUGUCCAAAUUGUACCACUGACCAUCAAAUAGCUUUGCAAGACUGCUUCACUAAUCGUAGACACAGCAUGACUGGUUUCUAAAUGAGUCCCGUUUACUAAAUAGGUUAUAUUUUACCCGGGUGAUCACAGAAUAAAAUAAAAAAUAAAGAAAUAAAUAAAAAACACUUUGAAGUCUAAACUGAGAUUGGCCAAAGUCUUUAGGGAUGAAUUCUAUGAACAUCUACCAUUUACUCUUUCAGCACCAUGUAGAGUAAAACCACAAACAAAUUUCCCAAUUACAAAUGAAGUGUAUUGACUGUUGUGAGACGAAUGUAAAGCUUUGAUUUGAUCUGUUUUUAUUCUGUUACAAAGGCUUUACUGUUGUGCAGAGUGUCACACAUGCGCAGAGGUCACGAGAAAGUGUCAAGGACUGAAAGUUCGGCAUUUCUUCCUGAUCAGGGUUUGAUUAAUGUCUCCACAAUGAGGCUGCUACUCGACAAAAACAACCGUUUGUGAGGGUGGGUGGAUGAAAAAGAAUUAACAAGAAGGAGUGUGGUUUUAGUUAAAUAUUAAUUCUUUGUGCUACAACUCAGCACUGACAUGAAAUACUUCACUUAAAAACUACAAAGUGUUUUUGCUGAUAUUAGUCGUAUGUGUCAGUAAUUUUCAGCUUACAUGGGUGCAGGAGGGAUCGGCUGAUAUGCAUGCGAGGUACUCAUUGCUAUUAUUUAUGGGACUAGAAAGUUGUAUUUUCAGUCUUAUAUUGCACAUUAAAGGCAUGAAUAUGUGUGAUCAUGUAAGGGGUGAUGUAUUUGGAGUGGGAUGUAUUUGCUGGAUUUUAACUCCGAGACAAAGCUGAGAGGGUCUUGUCUCACCCUUUCACCCCUUCACUUUAAAUACUGCUCACCCUGUCACAAUUCCAACCUGCUAUGACAAUCCACUUACUUUUGAUUAUAUCACAUUCUUUUUUAUCUGUAUCAUACUUAUGCAAUAAAAUCAGCCCUUUCGCAUCAAUUUUUUCAACUUAAGAAUGAUUGUUUUACCGCCUUUAAAAACAGUGUAGUACUCUGUUUUAGCUGCUCUAAGGUCUUUGUAAAAUUUGCAGCUUUAUUUGUUACUUUAAACCAAACACUUCCACUGCAGGUGGGGUCAUAAAAGGAGAGCAGGACUGCAUGAAUCAGCAGGUGAAAGUCUUACAUUUUCUUUGCCAUUUUAAAGUCCUUAAACACCCUCCUAUCUAGUAAUAUGUCUAAUUGAGCAUCGGCUUCAUACAUCAUCUUUAAAUUUGUAGAUUUUCUUCCAACAGUUUCUGUGUCCCUAACUUCACCUUCCUGUGCUCAGCUAUUUUUCAGCUCCUUUUCUGUUUCUCCCCCCACAUUAAACAAACCCGACGUCAAAUGAAGCAAACUUCUCUCUUGAGAUAUUCUGAUUGCAGUCAGUCUUCAGGAGCCUGUGAUUGGAGUGACAUCCUCAGCAAUUAUUCAGAAAUAUGAGACUGUUAUAGUAUCAGACUGACCAAUCAGACUCAAUUUGAUACAAACAGAAACUGAAGAAGAGAAAAUCCUCACAGCUGAAAUGCUGGAGCUUGUGCCUGCAUAAUAUGCCAGUCAACAAAUUCCUGCAAAACAACUUUUUAGCUGAUAAAUGAAAACUUAACACUGGAUAUAAACUCUGGUGAUCUUUAAAAUUUAUGCUUUGCUUUUAAAGGUAUGCAAAUUCACAGUUGCACUGUUAGUCAGCUCCUAUUAUAGUGCACCUGAAUAAUACCUGGCUGCGCGCAUUAUGUGACUGUUUAAGCAGUCUAUUUAUCUGAAGAACUGUGCCACCAAGGCAAAUUCUCAGAUAGUUUGUUAUACCUGCCAAGCCGGGCUCCACUGAUGCUAAUUAUUUAGUGGGAGCCCAGUUUCUCGUGGCUAAUAUAUUUAGCACAAACUUGCGACGAACUGUGGCCUCCUUGUACAUCUCAGCCAUUAUUCCUCACAAAUUAAGUUGUGAAAGACGGGGAGACUUUGCUCUAUAGGGCCUGGGGCCUCUUGUUGACCUGAAUCAUGAAAUUGUUCUCACUGCAGCAACAAUGGUACCCUGUCUAAGCGUGGCGGUGCACACGUGUGUGUGUCUUUGUGUGUGAUGCAUGUGUGAGAUGCUUCAAAAAGAGCCUUGGGUUACCCAGAAUGCAGGUCAGUAAUUACGGUUUGCUCAGUUGAGCAACACUGUUAAUCUGUAUGUCACUGUUAAUCUGCCGCUGUCUAUAUAUGGAUGUUGCUUCAUCGCACCUGGAGGCACAACAAUUACUCUUUUCCUUUACCUUUAAACUGGGUCAUUUAACACAACACAGCAGUGUGAAAUAUUUCUACAUCUUUAGCCUCAAACAACUCUUCAUAAAUUCGACUGAUCCUCGUCUCCACGCCGUGGCUGAGAUUAAAGAGGCCUAUUUUCACAUCACUGUUGUGUUUAAAACAAGCACUGGAGAUGUUAUCUGUGGCUAGCUGUGACAUCAUCAUCGCUAAUUAGACGAACUCGGCGACUUCAUUAGUGUGUGUGAGAAAGCAUCACACUGGUAAUCAGAUUUAGAGCUCACUUCUCUGACAGUUCACCGUUCACUCACCUACCCUCACACCCCUCCCCCUUUUGUCUUUGACAUCACCUCUUUAAAGAUUCAUAAGCCGGGGCAAUUUACAUAAAAGUUAAAGCGUCUGAUUAGUCGUAUUACAACCCACUCUGACCGGCACCAGCCCUGCAGGGACUGCAGGAUUGGCCAAGGUUACAGCUCAGGCAUGUUGCUCAGCGGCAUGCGAAGGGGGCCACCAUGGCGGCAAGUAGAGAGGAGAUUAUAAUGAAUUUCUCUGAGUCAUUUUCUUUUACCUUCAUGCUCCCCCCCUAAUAAUUAUAACUGUGUGGGGCCCACUUCCUUUUUACCAUUCUUAUCCUUACACUUCCUCACAAAGAAGCAGUUCCCUCAAAGGAUUCAUACACAGAGUUUUGUAUUAGAGCCUAUUUUGCAUCAAUAAUAACAGGCUGUGGGCAUGUUUUCAAUUAAACACAAAAACCCAAUUUUGUCCCUUUCUGUCAACACACUGGAAUGAGUGACCAUGAUGCAAUGCUGGAACAAUUUCAAUGUUUUCAUGCACAUCAAAAGGCAUAAAAACAUUGAAAUUGAACCUAUUCAUUGCAAUUCAAUUGGGGUCAUUAAGUCAAGAUUUGCAUUUAAAUAGCAACAUUAAAAUGUUACAUAGUAGUGCCGAAUAAUGCGCUCAUUCAUACCAGCGCAUCAUAAUUAAUUGGUGUUUCCAAGGAAACCUUUCAAACCUAAUUGUUCACAGGGUGGUCUCACUAUAGAGGCAACAGAACACUUUGACCAGAGAGCAGCCACUGGAGCUGUUUAUCCCGGGAGGUUGUUAAGAAUGCAAUCAGGAUCAAAAGUCACAGAUUCUACAAGUAAUCUGAAAUUCUUUAAAUCCUCCUCGUGUUUCGUAGUGCUUCUCCAUUCCCUGUGAAUGUCUUGUCAAAGCCUCUCACUGUGCAGGCUCAUCUAUCAUUUUGGAAUAAUUCUGUCUGUACUUUAAACGUGAGGUGGGUGCUGAUGAAUUUUGCAGAGCACCCUCGAGCCGACUGCUGCCCAGGCAACAUCCCUGAGGCUGGGCAGAAAUACAUCAGGACUUAUAAUAACUGCCUCUCCUUGUUUCCCCAGACAGGCCAGCAGCAGUCCACGCCACGUUCGACGGGUUUUAGGAGGAAGCCUCGGCAGACCAAUUCAGACCUCUUUCAUAAAAGACAAAGAAAUAGUUCCCUCUUUUACAGGUAAGGGCCUGAGGCGUUCUUGCAUGCAUGCCCUGAUAACACAGCAAACAGUCAUGCUUGACUCUUGGUUACUGGACUGAGAGGGUUUAUCUGAGCAAUACAAGGUCUUUUUUGUGCGCGUGAUGAUAUAAAACUCAUACAUAAAAUAAUACUUGAUAGAAAACACCAGAGACAGCUAGAUGAAACUUUUAUUUCAAAAGGCCUGCUUUUAAAAGAAGGAAAAAUAUACAACUGAAAAUGCAUUUUCAAGCCAACGCAUUUCAGCGAGGGCAAAAGAGCAGCAAUUUGUCCCUCACCUCCUCCAUUAGCUGCAGUGAUGUAAGCUAUUAUGAUCAAGGGAAGCAAAUUGUAAGAGAUAUGGUGCUUAUGGGAGGUCUAGAUGGCACUGUUGCAGUAGCUGUGACAUUUUGUUGUUUGUUUUGCAGGACUGAGCAAGAGGUGAGGAAGGUAGCCAUAUGGUGGAUAUUUAUCAGCCGAUGGCUGGCAGAGUGAUUGAAUGUGAGCUGAAGGUGAAGCUGCAGACAGCUGAGAAGGAGAGCAGGGCCUGAGGCCCGGGGUCCGGUACCAGGCUGUUCAUCAUCUCCCUUAAAGGAAGGUCAACAGUCCAAUGAAUCACACUCACCACCAAACUUACAGCUUGUUCUCUGUCAGCUUUACUGCAUUUUGCUGCAGUCCUCGCUGUUCAGCUGGAACCUAAUCCACUCACCCUGCCUCUUCAUCUGAUUCUUUAUAAGGGGGCUGGAAGAAACCAGAAUGCCAAAGUCUCUAAAAUCUAAUGAUUCAAUAAUCUCAGACGUCAUCAAACACAGCUGCUGACGUCAGUGAGGCCAAAAGCAGGGUUGGCGUUGUUUGGGGCUGGGAAGGCCGAUAACUCAAAUUCAAUUUAAUCAGAGGCAUCAAACUCCUCCAGGGUUUCUAUUCAACCCUUUUGGGGUCAACAUCAUAAUGACGUCAGCAGGAACCAAAACAAAACAAAACUAGAGCGACAUUUGAAGCCCCACCACAGGGUAAUAGGCUUCAUAGCAUUUUUAAAAUGUUGUCUCAUGUUGUUGGGUACCAAAUAGUAAUGUCUCAAAACUGGCAUUUUGCCAUAUAACAGCCGACACGGUCAGGGAUGAAAACAACAUUGGUUAAACAAGAUAAGGAGAGGACUGGACAGAGGCCAUCAUCAAAAAGCUAACAUGUGCAGUACACAGUCCAAAUCAGGUAAGGUCAAAAAGCAUGUUGUAUGGAUUAUGUAUGUUAUGAGUUAGCAUUACUGUCCGAUCAGAACGAGGGGAGUGUUUCUUGGAUUUCUCUAAUAUGUUAGCACUUGUUCCACUGUUGGCUUUGUAAGCAUUAUAAAAUGAAGGAGUCCUGUCAAAUCAUCCAUCCAUCCAUUCAUCGAGGGUGCGGGUCGGCCAGCCUGCUCUCAUCCAUCAGUGUCACCUUAUCCAGGUGACACAGUUGAUGGUAAGCUGACGGUAAGUGACCUCACAAAUUCAGGGAAACCCGUAUUAUCUCCUGUCAUAGUCAGAAACAAGCGAAACAAUUUCGCCUUUGCCUCCAGGUAUGCCCCUGGUGGUAAAUACAGCCUCAUCGGUUUCCUACCUCUAUAAUGGGCUUCUCCUCAUAUAUGUUGGACGUUGGAAUAGAGAGGGACCAAAUAUGGAUCUGGUGGAAGUUCUCUGCUAGCAUGGUCAAAGAGCUAUGAUCCAUUGAGCCCAGCACUCCAGCAAGAGGCCUGCAAAUCCCAAAAAAGUGUUUAAAACCAACCACUAAGACCUCACUAAACAUAGGGAGGGUCUUACAAGAGAGACAGGGAGGGCAAGGGAUUAGGCCCAGAAUACAGCAAACUAUGCAAAAUAUGAUCAGGACACUCAUGUUCGAGGAAGAGUAAUCCUCCUGCAUGUGAAAUCAGGGGAUAAGCAAGGAGUUAAACAUGUUAGACACAUUUUCUCUCUCCAGGAGAUGCUAGUUUUACAACUCGGUUCACAUUAUGCAAAAUACAGGAAGUUAAAUCCCAUUUUGACUGACUCAUCUCAUUGUUGAGAACACCCAUGGCACAUCUGGGCGUCUCAGGGGGUCAGCAUAUGAG